GCCAGCAGCCGCGGUAACACGGAAGCCCCGAGCGUUGUUUCGGAUUCAUUGGGCGUAAAGGGUGCGUAGGCGGCGCGGAAAGUCCGGCGUGAAAGGCAGGGGCUCAACCUCUGGACUGCGUUGGAUACUUCCGUGCUUGAGGACUGGAGGGGAGACUGGAAUUCACGGUGUAGCAGUGAAAUGCGUAGAUAUCGUGAGGAAGACCGGUGGCGAAGGCGAGUCUCUGGACAGAUCCUGACGCUGAGGCACGAAGGCUGGGGGAGCGAACAGGAUUAGAUACCCUGGUAGUCCCAGCAGUAAACGAUGUGAGCUUGAUGUGGGGGGAUUCGACCCCUUCCGUGUCGAAGCUAACGCGAUAAGCUCACCGCCUGAGGAGUACGGCCGCAAGGCUAAAACUCAAAGAAAUUGACGGGGACCCGCACAAGCGGUGGAGUAUGUGGCUUAAUUCGAUGCAACGCGAAGAACCUUACCUGGCCUUGACAUGCAUUGUGUCGUCGGUGAAAGCCGGCUAGUCCUGGAAACAGGACGCUUUGCACAGGUGCUGCAUGGCUGUCGUCAGCUCGUGUCGUGAGAUGCUGGGUUAAGUCCCGCAACGAGCGCAACCCUUGUGGUCAGUUACUAACCGGCUUAGCCGGAGGACUCUGGCCAGACUGCCCUGUCAAACGGGGAGGAAGGUGGGGACGACGUCAAGUCAGUAUGGCCCUUAUGGCCAGGGCUGCACACGUACUACAAUGCCCGGUACAAUGUGAACCGAAACCGCGAGGUGGAGGAAAUCGCUCUUGAAAACCGGGCCCAGUUCGGAUUGGAGUCUGCAACUCGACUCCAUGAAGUCGGAAUCGCUAGUAAUGGCGUAUCAGCAACGACGCCGUGAUACGUUCCCGGGUCUUGUACACACCGCCCGUCACAUCAUGGAAGUCUCCUGUACCCGAAGCACGUGCGCCAACCUUUCAGGAGGCAGCGUUCGAAGGUAUGGGAUCUACCUGGGAUGAAGU
rnacentral:rRNA from 1 species